AGGUAGGUGCAUGCAUUGUUAACCAGGAUAAUAGAAUCGUUGGGAUAGGUUACAAUGGAAUGCCCAAUGGUUGUAGUGACGACGAAAUGCCCUGGGGUAAGGGCUUCAAGGACCCUCUCCAUAACAAAAAGUUAUUCGUGUGUCAUGCCGAAAUGAAUGCCAUCGUGAACAAAUUGUCCGCGGACAUCAGGGGUUGUACUAUAUAUGUAACAUUGUUUCCCUGUAACAAUUGUGCCAAAAUCAUAAUACAGAGUCGUAUAAGAGAAGUUGUGUAUUAUGACGACAAGAAUCUCCAUAAAAACGAGGCUAAAGCUUCGGUGUACAUGUUCCAGAAAGCCGGGAUUAAUGUCAGGCGAUAUAUACCGUCUGGAAUUGGACACCUUAAAAGUAAACUUUGACAGAAAGCCACUGAGACAAAACGCGAUGAUUUUCCAGAAAUAACUUUAUUGAUAAAAUACUCACUGGGUAAUAGACAGAUAAUGAUUUGUAUUGAUCAGCAAAUGCGAAUAAUAAUAAUGUUUUUGGCCUGUACGUCUGUCUGUGUGUUGUCUAUUUGUCUUUAAAAAUAAAACAAAUAUAAAGCUUUAUCCUUGGCAUUACUUUUAAACAGUUGCUGCUGGGGCUUUCAUAUGUCACACAUAUAUUAUAAGUUUGACCUUUUUUUAAUUAUCUUGGCUUUGAGGUACCAUACAGGGGCAUCAGUGUUUCACAAACAUAACUUGUUAUUUUUUCAACACGACAACUGAUGUAAUAGGAGGACCAACAAGAUCAUAACAACAUUAAAAAAGUUAUGUUGAGAUACAAUGUUGUUCGAGAGAUAGGUUUUCAAAAACUUACUUCUUGACUUUGAAGGAUUACUGACACAUGUUGUUUUACAAUACGUAAAUGCUUGGCUUUGAAGAAGAUAUGUUGUUAUAGUAUGACAAAUUAUUUUUAGUUAGACUUCACUGACAACCUUAACUGUACAUGUACUCGUACAUGUAGAUACAUGACUUCCCAGAUUUUCCCCCCUCAUAUUGGGAUGCUACGAAUUUCCUGUGGAAGGCUGCAAUUAAGACUUUUUGUAAAAAAUGCAUACAUGAAUUUUUCCUCGGAAAUAAAUGAACAUAAAUAAUUAAUGAAUGAAAGAAGAAAUUAAAUAAAUUUACACUAAGCAUUUCUGUGGUAGGAAUGGAAUGAAACAUAUGGAGAUAAGGAACAGUAUUCCAGAUCAAAAGUUCAUAAAACAA